GGCUCGGUAGCUUAGUUGGUAAAACACUCGUCUUGCUUACAAAAAUCCUGGGUUCGAACCCCAGCUGAGCAC
rnacentral:tRNA from 1 species